GACGUAGGGCGCGAGCGUUGUCCGGAUUUAUUGGGCGUAAAGAGCUCGUAGGCGGCUUGUCGCGUCGACCGUGAAAACUUGGGGCUCAACCCCAAGCCUGCGGUCGAUACGGGCAGGCUCGAGUUCGGUAGGGGAGACUGGAAUUCCUGGUGUAGCGGUGAAAUGCGCAGAUAUCAGGAGGAACACCGAUGGCGAAGGCAGUCCGCCAAACCAUUACUGACACUGAAACACGAAAGUGCGGGGAGCAAACAGG
rnacentral:rRNA from 1 species